GACGAACGCUGGCGGCGUGCUUAACACAUGCAAGUCGAACGGAAAGGCCCUGCUUUUGUGGGGUGCUCGAGUGGCGAACGGGUGAGUAACACGUGAGUAACCUGCCCUUGACUUUGGGAUAACUUCAGGAAACUGGGGCUAAUACCGGAUAGGAGCUCCUGCUGCAUGGUGGGAGUUGGAAAGUUUCGGCGGUUGGGGAUGGACUCGCGGCUUAUCAGCUUGUUGGUGGGGUAGUGGCCUACCAAGGCUUUGACGGGUAGCCGGCCUGAGAGGGUGACCGGCCACAUUGGGACUGAGAUACGGCCCAGACUCCUACGGGAGGCAGCAGUGGGGAAUAUUGCACAAUGGGCGGAAGCCUGAUGCAGCAACGCCGCGUGCGGGAUGACGGCCUUCGGGUUGUAAACCGCUUUCGCCUGUGACGAAGCGUGAGUGACGGUAAUGGGUAAAGAAGCACCGGCUAACUACGUG
rnacentral:rRNA from 1 species